GCGGGGUGUUGGAGGGACAAGGGCCCACCCGUUCCCAUCCCGAACACGGUAGUUAAGCUUCUCUGCGCCAAUGGUAGUUGGGGGCUUCCCCCUGCGAGAGUAGGUCGCUGCCGGGC
rnacentral:rRNA from 1 species